UGGGGAAUAUUGGACAAUGGGCGGAAGCCUGAUCCAGCCAUGCCGCGUGUGUGAAGAAGGCCUUUUGGUUGUAAAGCACUUUAAGCGAGGAGGAGGCUACUUGGAUUAAUACUCUAGGAUAGUGGACGUUACUCGCAGAAUAAGCACCGGCUAACUCUGUGCCAGCAGCCGCGGUAAUACAGAGGGUGCGAGCGCUAAUCGGAUUUACUGGGCGUAAAGCGUGCGUAGGCGGCUUCUUAAGUCGGAUGUGAAAUCCCUGAGCUUAACUUAGGAAUUGCAUUCGAUACUGGGAAGCUAGAGUAUGGGAGAGGAUGGUAGAAUUCCAGGUGUAGCGGUGAAAUGCGUAGAGAUCUGGAGGAAUACCGAUGGCGAAGGCAGCCAUCUGGCCUAAUACUGACGCUGAGGUACGAAAGCAUGGGGAGCAAACAGG
rnacentral:rRNA from 1 species